rnacentral:piRNA from 1 species
AACGCCUACAGCCUGGG